AAGUCGUAACAAGGUUUCCGUAGGUGAACCUGCGGAAGGAUCAUUAUCAACGUAUCCACGUUUAUAAACCAAUUUACGUGAACUGUCGCCAAUCGCCUCUGGGCUAUCGGCCGCUGUCUGUCGACGCUUGAGCUCAUUGUAUGAUUAUGAGCAAUGUCGGCAUGGCAAUUUUAAGGCUGUCUCUCCAGAGUGUAUUAAUCAUACGUUAUAUCUAUUAUUAACCACUUGAACCAAAAUUCAAUUUAUUACUUUGUUUGAACUGAUUUGUUUCUUACUCAGCGCCCCUUUCAUCGGGGCGUAGAGAAGAAAUCGAAUUACGAAACAAAAAAAAGAACAACUCUUAGCAACGGAUAUCUUGGUUCUC
rnacentral:misc_RNA from 1 species